rnacentral:rRNA from 1 species
GUGACUCUGCGAGAAGUCCAUUGAACCUUUAUCAUUUAGAGGAAGGAGAAGUCGUAACAAGGUUUCCGUAGGUGAACCUGCGGAAGGAUCAUUG